AACGAACGCUGGCGGCAUGCCUAACACAUGCAAGUCGAACGAGACCUUCGGGUCUAGUGGCGCACGGGUGCGUAACGCGUGGGAACCUGCCCUUAGGUUCGGAAUAACUCCCCGAAAGGGGUGCUAAUACCGGAUAAUGUCUUCGGCCCAAAGAUUUGUCGCCUUGGGAUGGGCCCGCGUUGGAUUAGCUAGUUGGUAGGGUAAAAGCCUACCAAGGCGACGAUCCAUAGCUGGUCUGAGAGGAUGAUCAGCCACACUGGGACUGAGACACGGCCCAGACUCCUACGGGAGGCAGCAGUGGGGAAUAUUGGACAAUGGGCGAAAGCCUGAUCCAGCAAUGCCGCGUGAGUGAUGAAGGCCUUAGGGAUGUAAAGCUCUUUUACCCGGGAUGAUAAUGACAGUACCGGGAGAAUAAGCGCCGGCUAACUCCGUG
rnacentral:rRNA from 1 species